rnacentral:rRNA from 1 species
UACAGAGGGGGCAAGCGUUAAUCGGAAUUACUGGGCGUAAAGCGUGCGCAGGCGGUAAUGUAAGACAGAUGUGAAAUCCCCGGGCUUUACCUGGGACCUGCAUUUGUGACUGCAUUGCUGGAGUGCGGCAGAGGGGGAUGGAAUUCCGCGUGUAGCAGUGAAAUGCGUAGAUAUGCGGAGGAACACCGAUGGCGAAGGCAAUCCCCUGGGCCUGCACUGACGCUCAUGCACGAAAGCGUGGGGAGCAAACAGG